rnacentral:sRNA from 1 species
UUUUUUUGAGUUUUUUUUCUUCUUUU